UACGGAGGGUGCGAGCGUUGUCCGGAAUCAUUGGGCGUAAAGGGCGCGUAGGUGGCCCGGUCAGUUCGUGGUGAAAGCGCGGGGCUCAACCCUGCGUCGGCCAUGAAUACUGCCGCGGCUGGAGCACUGUAGAGGCAGGCGGAAUUCCAGGUGUAGCGGUGGAAUGCGUAGAGAUCCGGAAGAACACCGGUGGCGAAGGCGGCCUGCUGGGCAGUGCUGACACUGAGGCGCGACAGCGUGGGGAGCAAACAGG
rnacentral:rRNA from 1 species